rnacentral:rRNA from 1 species
AAGCCAUGCAUGUGUAAGUAUAAAUAAUUCUACUUUGAAACUGCGAAUGGCUCAUUAUAUCAGUUAUAGUUUAUUAGAAAAAAUGUACUACUUGGAUAACCGUAGUAAUUCUAGGGCUAAUACAUGAGUAAAUCCUCGACUUUGAAGAGGUGUGUUUAUUAGUAUGAAAACCAUAUGCUUCGGCAUGAUAGUGAGUAAUAAUAACCUUUCAUAUCGUAUGUUGAAAUAACGAUAGUUCUUUCAAGUUUCUGCCCUAUCAGCUUUCGAUGGUAGUGCAUUGGACUACCAUGGCAGUAACGGGUAACGAAGAAUUUGGGUUCGAUUUCGGAGAGGGAGCCUGAGAGAUGGCUACCACAUCCAAGGAAGGCAGCAGGCGCGUAAAUUACCCAAUCCUGACAUAGGGAGGUAGUGACAAUAAAUCACAAUGCGGGACUUUUAGUUUUGCAAUUGGAUUGAGAACAAUGUAAAAGAGUUAUCGAUAAACAAUUGGAGGGCAAGUCUGGUGCCAGCAGCCGCGGUAAUUCCAGCUCCAAUAGCGUAUAUUAACGUUGUUGCAGUUAAAAAGCUC